rnacentral:rRNA from 1 species
ACGUAGGUGGCAAGCGUUAUCCGGAUUUAUUGGGUUUAAAGGGUGCGUAGGUGGGUAUGUAAGUCAGUGGUGAAAUCCCCGAGCUUAACUUGGGAACUGCCGUUGAUACUAUAUAUCUUGAAUAUCGCGUAGGUAAGCGGAAUAUGUCAUGUAGCGGUGAAAUGCUUAGAUAUGACAUAGAACACCAAUUGCGAAGGCAGCUUACUUCACGAUUAUUGACACUGAGGCACGAAAGCGUGGGUAGCAAACA